UGGGGAAUAUUGGACAAUGGGCGCAAGCCUGAUCCAGCAAUGCCGCGUGUGUGAAGAAGGCCUGCGGGUUGUAAAGCACUUUCAAUCGUGAAGAAAUGCUUACGGUUAAUACCCGUAAGUUUUGACGUUAACGAUACAAGAAGCACCGGCUAACUCCGUGCCAGCAGCCGCGGUAAUACGGAGGGUGCGAGCGUUAAUCGGAAUUACUGGGCGUAAAGAGUACGUAGGCGGCUUGGUCAGUCGGAUGUGAAAGCCCCGGGCUUAACCUGGGAAUUGCACUCGAUACUGCCAAGCUAGAGUUUAGUAGAGGAAUGCGGAAUUCCGGGUGUAGCGGUGAAAUGCGUAGAGAUCCGGAGGAACAUCAAUGGCGAAGGCAGCAUUCUGGGCUAAAACUGACGCUGAGGUACGAAAGCGUGGGGAGCAAACAGGAUUAGAUACCCCCGUAGUCC
rnacentral:rRNA from 1 species